rnacentral:rRNA from 1 species
CCUACGGGGGGCAGCAGUGGGGAAUAUUGCGCAAUGGGGGGAACCCUGACGCAGCAACGCCGCGUGCGGGAUGAAGGCCUUCGGGUUGUAAACCGCUUUCAGCAGGGAAGAGACAGACGGUACCUGCAGAAGAAGCCCCGGCUAACUACGUGCCAGCAGCCGCGGUAAUACGUAGGGGGCGAGCGUUAUCCGGAUUCAUUGGGCGUAAAGCGCGCGCAGGCGGACCGUUAAGCGGGACCUCUAAUCCUGGGGCUCAACCUCAGGCCGGGUCCCGAACUGGCGGUCUCGAGUGCGGUAGGGGAGGG